rnacentral:rRNA from 1 species
GAUGGACGCUGGCGACGUGCUUAAUACAUGCAAGUCGAGCGAAAAGACGCGGCGCUUGCUCCUCUGACGUUAGCGGCGGACGGGUGAGUAACACGUGGAUACCCUCCCUAUCAGACUGGGAUAACUUCGGGAAACCGGAGCUAAUACCGGAUAAUCUCUUGAACCGCAUGGUUCAAUAGUGAAAGACGGUUUUGCUGUCACUAAUAGAUGGUUCCGCGCCGCAUUAGCUAGUUGGUAAGGUAACGGCUUACCAAGGCAACGAUGCGUAGCCGACCUGAGAGGGUGAUCGGCCACACUGGAACUGAGACACGGACCAGGCUCCUACGGGAGGCAGCAGUAGGGAAUCGUCCGCAAUAGGCGAAGGCUUGACGGAGCAACGCCGCGUGAGUUAUGAAGAUCUUCGGAUCGUAAAACUCUGUUAUUAGGGAAGAACAAAUGUGUAAGUAACUAUGCACGGCUUGACGGUACCUAAUCAGAAAGCCACGGCUAACUACGUG